rnacentral:rRNA from 1 species
UACGUAGGGUGCGAGCGUUGUCCGGAUUUAUUGGGCGUAAAGAGCUCGUAGGCGGCUUGUCGCGUCGUCCGUGAAAACCUGCAGCUCAACUGCAGGCUUGCGGUCGAUACGGGCAGGCUGGAGUUCGGUAGGGGAGACUGGAAUUCCUGGUGUAGCGGUGGAAAUGCGCAGAUAUCAGGAGGAACACCGGUGGGCGAAGGCGGGUCUCUGGGCCGAUACUGACGCUGGAGGAGC